GACGAACGCUGGCGGCGUGCUUAACACAUGCAAGUCGAACGGUAAGGCCCUUCGGGGUACACGAGUGGCGAACGGGUGAGUAACACGUGGGUGAUCUGCCCUGCACUUCGGGAUAAGCCUGGGAAACUGGGUCUAAUACCGGAUAGGACUCCUGCCUGCAUGGGUGGGGGUGGAAAGCUUUUGCGGUGUGGGAUGGGCCCGCGGCCUAUCAGCUUGUUGGUGGGGUGAUGGCCUACCAAGGCGACGACGGGUAGCCGGCCUGAGAGGGUGACCGGCCACACUGGGACUGAGAUACGGCGCAAACUCCUACGGGAGGCAGCAGUGGGGAAUAUUGCACAAUGGGCGCAAGCCUGAUGCAGCGACGCCGCGUGAGGGAUGACGGCCUUCGGGUUGUAAACCUCUUUCAGCACAGACGAAGCGCAAGUGACGGUAUGUGCAGAAGAAGGACCGGCCAACUACGUGCCAGCCGCCGCAGUAA
rnacentral:rRNA from 1 species